GCUUGUCUCAAAGAUUAAGCCAUGCAUGUCUAAGUAUAAACAAAUCUAUACUGUGAAACUGCGAAUGGCUCAUUAUAUCAGUUAUAGUUUAUUUGAUGGUUCUUGCUACUUGGAUAACCGUAGUAAUUCUAGAGCUAAUACAUGCAUCAAACCCCGACUCACGAAGGGGUGUAUUUAUUAGAUGGAAACCAAUGCGGGGCAACCCGGAUUAUGGUGAUUCAUAAUAACUUUCAGAUCGAUCGCAAGAUCGAUGCAUCAUUCAAGUUUCUGCCCUAUCAGCUUUGGAUGGUAGGGUAUUGGCCUACCAUGGCUUUAACGGGUAACGGAGAAUUAGGGUUCGAUUCCGGAGAGGGAGCCUGAGAAACGGCUACCACAUCCAAGGAAGGCAGCAGG
rnacentral:rRNA from 1 species